rnacentral:rRNA from 1 species
AGGACGAACGCUGGCGGCGCGCUUAACACAUGCAAGUCGAGCGAGAACCGGUCCUUCGGGACCGGGGAAAGCGGCGAACGGGUGAGUAACACGUGAGUAAUCAACCCCGGCACCGGGAUAGCCCGAGGAAACUCGGAUUAAUACCGGAUGGCCCAGCAGCUCUUCGGGGCGGCUGGGAAGGGUAGCUUCGGCCUCCGGCCGGGGACGAGCUCGCGGCGGAUUAGCUUGUUGGUGGGGUAAUGGCCUACCAAGGCGACGAUCCGUAGCUGGUCUGAGAGGACGAUCAGCCACACUGGGACUGAGACACGGCCCAGACUCCUACGGGAGGCAGCAGUGGGGAAUCUUGCACAAUGGGCGAAAGCCUGAUGCAGCGACGCCGCGUGAGGGAAGAAGGCUUUCGGGUUGUAAACCUCUUUCAGGAGGGACGAAGCUACUCGGGUUAAUAGCCCAGAGGGUGACGGUACUUCCAGAAGAAGCCCCGGCUAACUACGCGCCAGCAGCCGCGGU